rnacentral:rRNA from 1 species
GUAGGUGGCAAGCGUUGUCCGGAAUUAUUGGGCGUAAAGCGCGCGCAGGCGGUCCUUUAAGUCUGAUGUGAAAGCCCACGGCUCAACCGUGGAGGGUCAUUGGAAACUGGGGGACUUGAGUACAGAAGAGGAAAGCGGAAUUCCAAGUGUAGCGGUGAAAUGCGUAGAGAUUUGGAGGAACACCAGUGGCGAAGGCGGCUUUCUGGUCUGUAACUGACGCUGAGGCGCGAAAGCGAGGGGAGCAAACAGGAUUAGAUACCCUGGUAGUCCACGCCGUAAACGAUGAGUGCUAAGUGUUAGGGGGUUUCCCGCCCCCCUUAGUGCUGCAGCUAACGCAUUAAGCACUCCGCCUGGGGAGUACGGCCGCAAGGCUG